rnacentral:misc_RNA from 1 species
GCUCCGUAGGUGAACCUGCGGAGGGAUCAUCACAGAGUUCAUGCCCUACCGGGUAGAUCUCCCACCCUAUGUUAUUAUUACUUUGUUGCUUUGGCGGGCCGUUAGGCUCCGGCCCGACUACCGGCCCCGGCUGGUAAGCGCCCGCCAGAGGACCCAAAACCCUGAAUAUUAGUGUCGUCUGAGUACUAUAUAAUAGUUAAAACUUUCAACAACGGAUCUCUUGGUUCUG